UUAGUACUCCCUCCGUCCGAAAAUACUUGUCAUCAAAAUAAACAAAAAAGGAUGUAUCUAGAACUAAAAUAUAUUUAGAUACAUCCCUUUUAUUCAUUUCGAUGAUAAGUAUUUCCGGACGGAGGGAGUACUAC
rnacentral:pre_miRNA from 1 species